UAGGGAAUCUUCCGCAAUGGACGAAAGUCUGACGGAGCAACGCCGCGUGAGCGAAGAAGGUCUUCGGAUCGUAAAGCUCUGUUGUCAGGGAAGAACAAGUACCGUACGAACAGGGCGGUACCUUGACGGUACCUGACGAGGAAGCCACGGCUAACUACGUGCCAGCAGCCGCGGUAAUACGUAGGUGGCAAGCGUUGUCCGGAAUUAUUGGGCGUAAAGCGCGCGCAGGCGGUCCCUUAAGUCUGAUGUGAAAGCCCGCGGCUUAACCGUGGAGGGUCAUUGGAAACUGGGGGACUUGAGUGCAGAAGAGGAGAGCGGAAUUCCACGUGUAGCGGUGAAAUGCGUAGAGAUGUGGAGGAACACCAGUGGCGAAGGCGGCUCUCUGGUCUGUAACUGACGCUGAGGCGCGAAAGCGUGGGGAGCAAACAGG
rnacentral:rRNA from 1 species